rnacentral:tRNA from 1 species
GGGAAGGUGGCUCAGUGGUAGAGCGCUUGUCUUGCAUGCAUGAGGCCCUGGGUUCGAUUCCUCAGCUCCA